rnacentral:rRNA from 1 species
CGGGUGAGUAACGCGUGGGUAACCUGCCUCAUACAGGGGGAUAACAGUUAGAAAUGACUGCUAAUACCGCAUAAGCGCACAAAACCGCAUGGUUUGGUGUGAAAAACUGAGGUGGUAUGAGAUGGACCCGCGUCUGAUUAGCUAGUUGGAGAGGUAACGGCUCACCAAGGCAACGAUCAGUAGCCGACCUGAGAGGGUGACCGGCCACAUUGGGACUGAGACACGGCCCAAACUCCUACGGAAGGCAGCAG